UGGGGAAUUUUGCACAAUUGGGGAAACCCUGAUGCAGCGACGCCGCGUGAUUUAGAAGGCCUUCGGGUUGUAAAAAUCUUUUCUAUGGGAAGAAAAUGACAGUACCAUAGGAAUAAGGACCGGCUAAUUACGUGCCAGCAGCCGCGGUAAUACGUAAGGUCCGAGCGUUGUCCGGAAUCAUUGGGCGUAAAGGGUACGUAGGCGGGUAAGCAAGUUAGAAGUGAAAUCCUAUAGCUCAACUAUAGUAAGCUUUUAAAACUGCUCAUCUUGAGGUAUGGAAGGGAAAGUGGAAUUCCUAGUGUAGCGGUGAAAUGCGCAGAUAUUAGGAGGACUACCGGUGGCGAAGGCGACUUUCUGGCCAUAACCUGACGCUGAGGUACGAAAGCGUGGGUAGCAAACAGG
rnacentral:rRNA from 1 species